rnacentral:misc_RNA from 1 species
GAAAUGCGAUAAGUAGUGUGAAUUGCAGAAUUCAGUGAAUCAUCGAAUCUUUGAACGCACAUUGCGCCCUAUGGUAUUCCGUAGGGCAUGCCUGUUCGAGCGUCAGUUACACCUUCAAGCCUUGCUUGGUGUUGGGUGACUGUGGCCCCUUUGGGGCCACUCGCCUUAAAGUCAUUGGCGGCCGGUUCGUUGGCUUUGUAGCGCAGCACAAUUGCGUCCUCGAAGCCGCUGGACCAGCUCCCAGAAGCUAAUUUUAAAUGUUUGACCUCGAAUCAGGUAGGGAUACCCGCUGAACUUAAGC